CUUCCGACAUGGAAACUGCCUGGGUCUCUCGUCUCUCACAGUGACCAAAGUAGCGUGCGCCCAUUUCUAACUGAUUCAUGUUUAAGAAAAUGUCUUCUUAUUGACUUGGACGUCAUCGAGGUAUGCGUGUUGAUCACUGUUUCGCCUCCGUAGGCACAGGGAUUUUUUGUAUUUUACUUUUAAUCAUUGAUUGAUAUAGGCUGAUAAUUGGUCUUGAGCGUAACACUUUCAUUCUAAAGCAAACUGCAUGGUCUAAAUGAUAUCACUGUCUGCAGUUUAUUGUAUUGUUUUAUUGUGGAUUCUACUUGACCACUCCAUUGUUGACAGAUCUGCUCCUGGCUUUCCUGAGUGUCAGACUGCUGAGACAUGAAGAAGACCAUCCUGCUGACUCAGGAUCCACUUCAACACAGAGGUCCCCCUUUGGCCUUCAGCUCAUUAAUUCAAUUAAUAUGUUCAUUUCAAUGAAGCCAAAAUGGAAAAUUAUCCAUUUAAAAGUAAGGCACUUUCCAUUGAAACAAGGGAAACCCCACAUUUGUGUGGUUGAGCCAUGAAUCAUCAUAUGGCAUGUGUGGCGAUUGCAUUUAGAGAGUGAUCAGAGACAGUACCAAAGACUGGAAACAUCCCAUACUCGGCACUAGAUUUAAUGAGUGCUGAGUUGUAGUAUUUACAACAGUGCCAAAAAGGCUCAGCUAUGUUCAGGAAGCAUGUGAAGUGUCUGCAAUAAAAAAAAACAUUGUCAAACAAGAUUUGGGAACAAUUACAUAGACAGAUAGUGUAAUGUUUAUAUGAUCCCUCCAAACCAGAGCAGCUGCAGUAACCAGACCAGCAACAUAACCAUGCCCCAUGUGACUACGUCUUUCAUCUAGUUGAGAGGCCAGUAGUUUGUUAAUUUUACAUCAGUUCUCACAAUUUAUCAUGCCUACACUGAAACAUUUCAACAAUUGUACUUACAUUGUGGCCAAACGUCUUGAACUUCAGAUGAACAAUAUGACAUUGCUUGUUGUUGACUAGAAAUCACUAGCUACCAUGCAAGCAGCUUUGGCUAUUAUGUGUCAUUGCUAUUUUAGAAGUAACCACUGUAAGUUUCUCAUUGCUAGCUAUUUGAACCAACAUUAACGAUAGUUUGUGACAUCCAACCUUUAUGGGUGUGAUGUGAUAUACCAAAUACAUUGGACAUGAAUGCGUAUAAUUUUGUAUCCGGGACAAACCAUUAUUGUGACGGUAUCAGCUGUGCAUGCCGGAGAACUUUCCGCAACACAGUUGUUGGCAAUAAUUUGGGUUUUACACGUCAUAAUUAUCACCUAU